rnacentral:misc_RNA from 1 species
GUGAGUCAUCGAAUCUUUGAACGCACAUUGCGCCCGCCAGUAUUCUGGCGGGCAUGCCUGUUCGAGCGUCAUUACAACCCUCAGGCCCCCGGGCCUGGCGUUGGGGAUCGGCGGAGCCCCCCGUGGGCACACGCCGUCCCCUAAAUACAGUGGCGGUCCCGCCGCAGCUUCCAUUGCGUAGUAGCUAACACCUCGCAACUGGAGAGCGGCGCGGCCACGCCGUAAAACAUCCAACUUCUGAAUGUUGACCUCGAAUCAGGUAGGAAUACCCGCUGAACUUAAGCAUAUCAAUAAGCGGAGGA